rnacentral:snRNA from 1 species
CUUGCUAUCAAACAUGUAUUUUUAUGAAUAAAAAAUGUGUUCUGAUCAGCUUAAUAUCUGAUACGUCCCCUACAUGAGGACCAGAAUAUUAAACUGAUUUUUGAGCAUUGGCGGGGGUUACUGGAGCCCGCACCUGCCCUGCCGCGGGUUGGCCUGGCAUUGCACUACAGCCAGGAUCGGCCCAUUUUAU